UAAAAAAAACAACAAUCCUUGAGCCAAAUCAAGUGCUCAACAACUAUAUGAUGUUUUCCACAUUCUUCUGUUUUGUUUUGUCUAUUUGGAUUAAAAGGUCUUUGCUGUAUUAACUUUGGCCUGCAGAUCUCCAGCCUGCUCUUUUCCUGUGGAUUUGCAUCCGAAGCGUGGUGCUCCCUCCUCUCUGUUUCUCUCCCUGGACGGCGUCCAGCUGCUGUGUACCUCAAAAAUGCAAAUGUGCAUCUCCUGGUGGUGCAGGUGGGAUCUUUCCUGUUUCCUGCCUGGUGGUGCUAGUUGGUGCUUAAUGGUACAAGUGAAUUUUCCAACAUGCUGUAUAAUUUUGUUGUGUGAUUCCUGCACCUCCAGGUCUGACUUCUGCCGGAAUGGUGCACGUAUCAUAUACCUAUGUGGCUUCGAAAAUGCUCACUGGAUCAUGGCAUUUAAUCAAGUAGGAUGGAGGCAAAUUAGUAUAUUUUCAGAAAGGCUCCCUGAAAAAACCACAGAGUCGAGAAAGGUGAUUCCUGGGAGGCUUUUAGACAACACACCACAGUAGCAGCAAUUCUCUCUGGCACUGAGCCUCUCUGCAUGUGGUAUCUUCUAGAAUAUAUCCAACUGCCAUACCUCGAUUUUACAGCCAAGUGACCACAGCAGAGGCAAGUUUGGUUUCUUGGAGUGAUCCACAGGAUUGUAAUCCCACCAGAUUUGCCAGUAGGACUGCUCACCUGGACGGAGAUCAGCGUGGAGAUGCAAGACUGCUGGUUUUUGCACCUUGAAAUGUAGCUGAGAAAUCAAAAUGUUGGCCUUCCAGCAGCCCGUUCACCUCCCCUGCAGCCCCAAGCUCCCCGGCACCCCUCCUUGGUGUGUCCUGCAGUCUUUAUUUGUUUUAUCUCCUCCAUGAUUUCUGUAUUCACCAACUGGUUGGUAUAGCGUGUAUUUGGAUAGGUGAGCCUGCUACUAAACGUGUUGAUUGUCUCCUGAACAAGCAAGUCAUCAGGUCGUUUUUCUAGCUAACUGUUCUUUAAUAGCCAGUUCUGUAUCUGAAUGUGUUGUGAUGGAAAAUAGAUGCAUUCACAUGAGCUUACUUUUUUUGCAAAACUUUUUUUUUUUUUCUCCUGCCUCUCCAAGUUAGCACUUUUAUCUUUUUCCUUUAAUUAGAGCAGCUGGAAGAGCAGUAAUAAACACACUUUCCUUUCCUUUGUGCUCACAUCCUGAGUGGUACAGAAAUACUCUGUUCCAUUCUCUGUAAAAUAUUUGUGGAACUCUAGCUGAACAUUUUUCUAAAAAAUGAUGUUUAUCUGGAUUUCCUUUAAUUCCAUGAAUUUGGCCUGCAUCUGUACAGGGAGUCACAGAAGUGUGUGAGGCAGCCAAUAUGGCCUGUCUGGGGUGGCAGGAUUAUGAGGACCACAAAAACUGGAAGUGAAGCAAGCAGUUUUUCAUCUGACUGGAGCAGUGGAAAACCUUGGAGCCACCACCCCGGCGCAUGCAUACACGAGAUGCUCUUGGUUGUUGUCUAAAGCACAAACGAGAAUAAAUAAUUCCCUGGUAUUUCUUCAAGAUGUCAACAAUAAUUUCCUGUAGCACCAUUGACUUUCUGGGGCUGCGCAGUCUCUGCAACCUAACCUUUAAAAAAAAAAAAAAAAAUUAAAAAAAAAAACAGC